GAAAUGCGAUAAUUAAUGUGAAUUGCAGAAUUCAGUGAAUCAUCGAGUCUUUGAACCCACAUUGCGCCCCCUGGUAUUCCGGGGGGCAUGCCUGUCCGAGCGUCAUUGCUGCCCUCAAGCACGGCUUGUGUGUUGGGCUUCCGUCCCUGGCAACGGGGACGGGCCCAAAAGGCAGUGGCGGCACCAUGUCUGGUCCUCGAGCGUAUGGGGCUUUGUCACCCGCUCCCGUAGGUCCAGCUGGCAGCUAGCCUCGCAACCAAUCUUUUUAACCAGGUUGACCUCGGAUCAGGUAGGGAUACCCGCUGAACUUAAGC
rnacentral:misc_RNA from 1 species